GGCCUUGACAUACUAAGAACUUUCCAGAGAUGGAUUGGUGCCUUCGGGAACUUAGAUACAGGUGCUGCAUGGCUGUCGUCAGCUCGUGUCGUGAGAUGUUGGGUUAAGUCCGCAACGAGCGCAACCUUUCCUUAUUUGCCAGCGGGUAAUGCCGGGAACUUUAAGGAUACUGCCAGUGACAAACUGGAGGAAGGCGGGGACGACGUCAAGUCAUCAUGGCCCUUACGGCCAGGGCUACACACGUGCUACAAUGGUCGGUACAAAGGGUUGCUACCUCGCGAGAGGAUGCUAAUCUCAAAAAGCCGAUCGUAGUCCGGAUCGCAGUCUGCAACUCGACUGCGUGAAGUCGGAAUCGCUAGUAAUCGCGGAUCAGAAUGCCGCGGUGAAUACGUUCCCGGGCCUUGUACACACCGCCCGUCACACCAUGGGAGUUUGUUGCACCAGAAGUAGGUAGUCUAACCGCAGGGAGGACGCUUACCACGGUGUGGCCGAUGACUGGGGUGAAGUCGUAACAAGGUAGGCGUAGAUGA
rnacentral:rRNA from 1 species